rnacentral:pre_miRNA from 1 species
UAUGAAUUGGUCACCAAGAUCACAGCAACAUGAGCACUUACGUGAAUUCUGAAAACAUCAAGUGCUAAUUGUUGUUGUAAUGUUGUUGU